rnacentral:lncRNA from 1 species
AAUUAGGACCUUGACCUUUGCUUUGGACUUGUGAUUUGAGAUCUUAGGAUUCAUCUGAUACCUUUGAAUUUGUACUUUCUCUAGAGACUUGGCAUGGUUAUUUUGGUUUCAUCUAAUACAUGGAUUAUUAUUUAUUUAUUUUGGCUUGCUUGAGGCUUAAUCCAAAGGAGGGAAUUCUUGCUUGACUUAUGUCAUAAAGCUUGUUAUUUCUUGGUUAGAUAUUUCUUCCCUAUCUUUUACUUCAUGCUUUAGGAUAGUCUCUUC